CGUCAUACUCCACACCCACCUCAUCCAAGAAUAAAUGGGCUGGCUUACGGACCACCUAUCAAACAUUAAAUUUAACCAACAUCAAUCAGCUGAACAAGAUCAGAAUAUUUGUUUCCGACGCAAAUUAAUCCAAUUUUUUAAGAAAAGAACAAAACAGAAAAAAAAAACAGAGCAUCAUUCAAAUAUGGAAAGGAAAUGAAUUUCUUACCAUAGCAGAGAAGAGUUGGCCGCCGAGCCAUGCACCGCCACCGGGGCUCACGGAUUGUUCGAUGAUGGCAAUACGAAUAUUGGGGUUUUUGCUGAGUUCGUAAGCGCAAGAGAGCCCAGCGGAGCCAGCGCCGACGAUGAUAACGUCAGUGUCAGCGUAGGUAAUCAUAUCGGUCAUGUAACGACGGGUCAUCUCCCGAGAGACGAUA